rnacentral:lncRNA from 1 species
UUACUGUAGCCGUGGGUGCUUUUAUGGGUGUCGUUGCUUCAGGCAUGUUCGUCGCUGCUGGUUUCACCCUGGUAGGAGCACCCGGCUGCGCAGUACCCGCUGCUGUAACCAAUCUGUUCAAAUCAGAAGGUGCUUGCUUCUGUGACAGGCCUCCAGCUGGUUUCGGUUUGGUUGGUAUUGCUGGAACGGCGCCUCCAAACACUCUUGUGAAAUUGGUUACUACUUUUUCCAUAGUGUGUGUAGCUUCACCUGAUGUUGGCACUCCAUUUGGUUGUACAGAUGGCUUUCGUGGCAGGGUGCGAGGUUGAGAAAUACUUGAUUGCUUAGGUGGUAAUGCUAUACGUGGUACGCUUCCUUUGCUUUCGUGGACAGGG